CCAGGUAUAUGUGGAUGUUGAAGGGGCGCAUUUGAGACGCAGCCAGUUUUUUUCUAACUUUGAAGUUUUACGCUGUGUCCAUGUUCCAAUUUGGAGUAGUUUAGACGGUUGGUUAUUAAAACUUCCCCACAAACACAUACUAUUUAUUAAAGAAUACACCCUGGGGUAAUUCAAAAGGCAUAUUUUGAACCUUGGCGUGGGAUAAUUUUUUCUCUAGUUUGUUCC
rnacentral:lncRNA from 1 species